GAAUCACGUUAAAUGCCUUUAUGGUGAAAUUUAUCAUGAGGGGUGGUGGUCAACUUAAAAAGAAGCCAUUCAAAGCUAUACUAUAUAGUUCAAGACUCUUCAUAGAAGAUGGAGACUUGCCAUGAUCAAGAAUACCAGCUAUUUGCUGAAGUUCAUCUUUCAAAACGAACAGCAUGGAGUACAGUACUCAUCAGAUGCUGUGAACAGGUGUAGCCCAAAUGCAACAGAUUCAGACUUUGAUGCAGCAAUGGUGGAACACAUGAAUCACACUCCUGGCAGAGCCGGUGGUCGGGGACCAAGAAAAUGAGUUAACAUUUUGAAAAAAAUGGACUUAAGUAGUUUCAAAUGUGUUUCUGUAAUACUGUACUUUUGUCAUUUUCAUGUUUGAUUAAUGGCUGCUGAACAUCAAUGUUAAACUCCAUUGCUAUCGAGAUUCUACUAUUUUUAUUUUCUUGUUUGAAUAGUAGCUGUAAUACAAAUGGAAGACAAUUAAAAAAUGUGAUGUUCACUAUAAAAUAUGAUGUGCUAAAUUAAGACACUUAUUUUUGCUUAAGUCCACAUAUAAAGUGUUAUUGUUUGUGAUGUACACGUGAUUGAAACGUUUUAUAGACGUUCAGGUCAGACCGGACCGAUUUUGGACCUUUUUAAAACUUAUGUCAAUUUAGGACACGUAAACCUUUAGACAUAAUUGCUUGCCUUGCACGAUGUUACACAACGCGAGUAUGAUUAUAUUAAACACAUUCUUAUAUAUACGCUUACAUUAAGCAGCUACACAUCUAGUAAUAAACGUCCGGAAGCGGACACAUUUGGACGUCCAGGGACGGGCAGAAAAGACGUGGAAAUCACGUUCAGAUGACGUCAAAGACGUCGGUUCAACUUUCAUUUUGGAACUAUUUUUCAACCGUGACGGGACGUGUCGGAAUUACGUCUUUUCAACGGUCAUUAAACGUCC